UACGUAGGGUGCGAGCGUUGUCCGGAAUUGUUGGGCGUAAAGAGCUCGUAGGCGGUCUGUCGCGUCUGCUGUGAAAACCCGAGGCUCAACCUCGGGCCUGCAGUGGGUACGGGCAGACUAGAGUGCGGUAGGGGAGAAUGGAAUUCCUGGUGUAGCGGUGGAAUGCGCAGAUAUCAGGAGGAACACCGAUGGCGAAGGCAGUUCUCUGGGCCGUAACUGACGCUGAGGAGCGAAAGCGUGGGGAGCGAACAGG
rnacentral:rRNA from 1 species